rnacentral:tRNA from 1 species
GGCCGUGUGGCGUAAUGGCAACGCGUCUGACUACGAAGAUCUAAUCAGGAGAUUGCAGGUUCGACCCCUGUCUCGGUCA